rnacentral:rRNA from 1 species
CCUACGGGAGGCAGCAGUGAGGAAUAUUGGUCAAUGGGCGCAAGCCUGAACCAGCCAUGCCGCGUGCAGGAAGACGGUCCUAUGGAUUGUAAACUGCUUUUAUACAGGAAGAAACCCUACCACGUGUGGUAGAUUGACGGUACUGUAGGAAUAAGGAUCGGCUAACUCCGUGCCAGCAGCCGCGGUAAUACGGAGGAUCCAAGCGUUAUCCGGAAUCAUUGGGUUUAAAGGGUCCGUAGGCGGUCUUAUAAGUCAGUGGUGAAAUCCCAUCGCUCAACGAUGGAACUGCCAUUGAUACUGUAAGACUUGAAUGCUUAGGAAGUAACUAGAAUAUGUAGUGUAGCGGUGAAAUGCUUAGAUAUUACGUGGAAUACCAAUUGCGAAGGCAGGUUACUACUAAGUGAUUGACGCUGAUGGACGAAAGCGUGGGGAGCGAACAGGAUUAGAUACCCUGGUAGUCCACGCCGUAAACGAUGGAUACUAGCUGUUCGGAGCAAUCUGAGUGGCUAAGCGAAAGUGAUAAGUAUCCCACCUGGGGAGUACGCACGCAAGUGUGAAACUCAAAGGAAUUGACGG